AUGUUUCUCUUCAUCUGCAUUAUAAUACAGCUCAUCAUAAGAACUUCUGCAGAUGAAAUACAUCCCCUGUCUUCAGAUAAACGUGUGACUGAAGGUCAAAAUGUGACUCUGUCUUGUAAUUACAGCACCAGUACUGGCACUGUUGACUCUCUACAGUGGUAUCGCCAGUAUUCUGGAGCAAAACCAGAGCAUUUACUUUCUCUAAAUGAAUAUUCAAACAGCUCUAAGCUUGAUCUUCGUCUGUUUUCAACCGCUGUAAAAGCACUGAAGCGUGUGGAUCUGCUGCUCUCCUCUGCUGCGGUAUCAGAAUCUGCUGUGUAUUACUGUGCUCUGCAGCCCACAAACAGGACCCUCAGCCAGGCCAAAGCAGGACUCUCAAAUACAGUAUAA